GCUGGUUUAAGUCAUAUUUAUCAGAUUGUUCGCAGUUUGUACAUGUUAAUGAUGAAUCUUCAAUAAAUACUACAGUUAGUCAUGGAGUUCCACAAGGUUCUGUACUUGGACCAAUACUAUUUACUUUAUAUAUGCUCCCUUUAGGCAACAUUAUUAGGAAUCACCCCAUUAACUUUCACUAUUAUGCAGAUGAUACGCAGUUAUAUCUACCGAUCAAGCCCGAUGAAAUUAAUCAAUUAUCCAAAUUACAAACAUGUCUUAAGGACAUAAAAUCCUGGAUGAGCUGCAAUUUUCUGAUGUUAAACUCAGAAAAAACUGAAAUUCUUGUUCUGGGCCCCAAAAACCUUAGAGACUCACUGUCUAAAGAUAUAGUUACUCUAGAUGGCAUUACCUUGGCCUCUAGCACCACUGUCAGGAAUCUUGGAGUUAUCUUUGAUCAGGAUUUGUCUUUUAACUCCCACAUGAAGCAGACCUCUAGGACUGCCUUCUUUCAUUUACCUAAUAUUACAAAAAUUAGACAUACUAUCACAGACAGAUGCAGAAAAACUAAUCCAUGCAUUUGUUACUUCAAGGCUGGAUUACUGCAACUCUUUAUUAUCAGGUUGCCCCAAUAAGUCCAUUAAAACGCUCCAAUUAAUUCAGAACGCUGCAGCACGAGUACUGACAGGAACUAGAAAAAGAGAUCACAUCUCUCCUGUACUAGCUUCUCUGCACUGGCUGCCUGUAAAAUGUAGAAUAGAAUUUAAAAUCCUCCUCCUCACCUACAAAGCUCUUCAUGGUCAGGCCCCUUCAUAUCUUAAAGAGCUCAUAGUACCCUAUUACCCCUCUAGAACACUACGUUCUCUGAAUGCUGGGCUACUUGUGGUUCCUAUAGUCUCUAAAAGUAGAACAGGAGCCAGAGCCUUCAGUUACCAAGCUCCUCUCCUGUGGAACCAGCUUCCAGUUGGGGUUCGGGAGGCAGACACCCUCUCCACAUUCAAGAGUAGGCUUAAGACAUUCCUCUUUGAUAAAGCUUAUAGUUAGGGCUGGAUCAGGUGAGUCCUGAACCAUCCCUUAGUUAUGCUGCUAUAGGCCUAGACUAUCGGGGGAUUUCCCAUGGUGCACUGAGCUACUCUCUUCCUCUCUCUUUCUGCACUCAUUCAUGUCCCUUUAAUGCAUGUUACUAACUUCACUUCUUCCCCGGAGUUCUUGUGCUUUCUCGUCUCGCAGGUUCUCAUGGAUCCUGGUGGAGCCUCCUGCCAUGGUCCUGCUUGACUGCCAUUGCCAAUACUGUUGUUGCUGUGCACCUGUCUGUCUGUCUGUCUCUCGCUCUCUCUUUCUGCCUCUCUCUCUCUCUCUCUCUCUCUCUCUCUCUCUCUCUCUCUCACCCCAACUGGUCGAGACAGACGACCACCCACCUAGAGCCGGAGGAUCUGUCCUAGGUUUCUGCCUUUUAACAGGCAGUUUUUCCUUGCCCUUGUCUCCAAGGUCUUGCUCAUGGUGGUACUGUUGGGUCUCUGUAAUUAAUGUUAAAGAGUUCGGUCUAGACCUGCUCUAUUUGAAAAGUGUCCUGAGAUAACUUCUGUUAUGAAUUGGCGCUAUACAAAUAAAAUUGAAUUGAAUUGAA